GUCGGAGUGGCGAUCAGGAGUAACGGGAUUAACCCGGUUGGCCGGUCGCUCUGUGGCCACCUGAACAGCCCCGUUCCUGAAAAACAAGAGCGAGAUGCGCCGCCAGCAGCGGAAUCGGCUCAGCUUCAGGUUGUCCAUGAGCUCCAGGAUCUGUUCCAGGGUGAGCUGAGCCAGUUUACUGCUGGAACUGCGAAGACUGAGGAUGGAGACACAACCGCUGUUCAACAGGGUGAGCUGAGCCAGUUUACUGCUGGAAUUGUGGAGACUGAGGACGGAGACACAACCGCUGUUCAACAGGUACCCAGACCGUCCUCAACGGUUAGUCCUCACCUCUGUCCUAUCUGUCCUCAUCGGUUUGUCCUUUCCUGUCUCUGUCUGUCCUCAUCUGUCCUCACCUCUUUCCUAUCAGUCCUCACUUCUGUCUCUUGCGGGGCUGGU